rnacentral:lncRNA from 1 species
GGGCUAUCGAUGUGGGGUAGGCUGGAAGUUGUGAGGACAGACCUACUCCCGAGUCUGAAUUAUUUGGCCUAUAUUUUUCCUGUACCUUUUUUAUAUGGUAGGAAGUUGGAGAAGCUGGUUUUUUCUUUUCUUUGGAAUAACGGUACUGAGAUGGUGGCGAGAACACAGAUGUACUGCCAUGUGAAGGAGGGAGGGAGGGGGGUUCCUUGUAUCCCCUUAAAAAUGGAUGCAAUCUUCCUUUCCUCUUCUGCCCAAUUAGCAAUACAAGAGGAAGUGCAUAAUGCAAGAAUUUUGGCCCAGUUUUGGCUGGCUUUUCCAUUGCGAUCCAUUAGCUCAUGGAGGGCAACAAUGCCAUGGUCAACAAAUAGGCCGGCUUACUAUCAGAGAGUGGCAGAUUUCAUAAUGGGGAAACCAUGGUGUUUGGAGCAAUCUUUGAUCUUUCAGCAUAGGCAGCUGUACAGUAGAUUGAGGGACGAGCUAGUGGCUGGGGCAGAGAAAAUUGUCCCACCAUAUAGAGUAGAUUGGGCCAUGUUGCAGCCUACUUAUUUGACUGGGUUUUGUAAAGAUUUAAAUUGGUUGGCCGCGCUGGGUCGGCUGCCUGUGAGGGAGCGACUAUACAGACAUGGCUCAGGGAGGUCACCAAUGUGCCCAGUUGGAUGUGGCCAGGACGAAACUGUAGAGCAUACCUUUUGGUCCUGUCCAGGGGCAGUUACAUUCUGGAAGUUAGUGACUAUGUGGUGGGAAAGGUGGGGGGGACCGAAAAUCACAAGGAAUCUAGUCCUCUAUGGGGAAGGGAUGGAGGGCUUUGUAAAGGAAAGAAGAAGAGUAAUUUGGGUGGUGGUUUCAGAAGGGAAACAUGUACUGUGGGAAUGGAGAACUGAUUGUUUAAGAAAGCAAAUACCUCGUUUGGCGUCAGAGACUGUGUUUUUGCGACUGUUGUGUAAAAUAGUAACUGAGGUGAAAGCAUUUAAAUGCUGUUUUGGGGAGGAAAAAACAAAGAGAGUGUGGGGAGGGUUGCCAAAAGUCGGAGUGGGGUAAGCAAAAGAGCCAAUUUUCUAGCUUGGGUUUGUCUUUCUGUUUUUUUCUUUUCAUGGAAUAUCUAUUUUGUGGGUAAUGGAAUUUUCACCUUUGAAGAACAUAUAGAAUGCUUUGAUAAAUAAAUGUUUAUUCUGUCUGUAGCUUAAAAUGCCACGGUUAUGCAAAGUAAUACAAAGGUCUAUUUAGCCUGUUUCUAAGAAGGUA